ensembl:lncRNA
CCCAAGUCAGAUGAUAAGGGAAUGGUGCAGUGUAUAUGGUCAUGUGUCACUCACAUGUCAGUAGACGAGUGACCUUAUGUGAACACUGUAGAGAACUUGGCACAGAUGCAGAUGGCUGUGAUGUUGCAGGGCAAUAGAAUUGUGUGAGACUGAGGCAUGUAUGUAUGAGGUCUGUAUGUAUGAGGCAUGUAUGUAUGAGGUCUGUAUGUAUGAGGCAUGUAUGUAUGAGGUGUGUAUGUAUGAGGUCUGUAUGUACGAGGUCUGUAUGUAUGAGGCAUGUAUGUAUAAAGUCUGUAUGUGUGAGGCAUGUAUGUAUGAGGUGUGUAUGUAUGAGGUCUGUAUGUAUGAGGCAUGUAUGUAUGAGGUGUGUAUGUAUGAGGUCUGUAUGUAUGAGGCGUGUAUGUAUGAGGUGUGUAUGUAUGAGGCAUGUAUGAAGUCUCUGCUUCCCACACUUCGUGUGGCACAUACCUGCACUUGUUUGUGUUUUGCUUCUCUGACUCAUGACUCUGUUGGUGAGAUUCACCUACUUGGAAUUCUUACCUCUGAAGCCCGUCCUCUUACUUUUGCUUUGUUUGGAG